GGCGGCGGCGGCGUCCUAGAGGGCCCGGCGGCGGCGGCGUCCUGGAGGGCCCGGCGGCGGCGGCGUCCUGGAGGGCCCGGCGGCGGCGGCUCCUCAUCCAAAGAAAUGAGGCGACGUUGCGGAGGUCCAGGCGGUCGGCCCGGUGGAGGUCCUGGAGGAGACGGUCCCGGCGGUGGAGGACGGCUGGGGGGUCCGGCGGUGGAGGACGGCUGGGGGGUCCGGCGGUGGAGGUCCGAAGGCGGCUCGUGAUUAGGCCAACCAGCUCCUCAUCCAUGGAAGCAGGAUUGAAGGAGUCACUGGGGAUGAAGAUCACUGCUCAGGGGCUGACGACCACUCAUCUUUCCGGAGAAGCGUCCUCAUGGUGCAGGCGGUCAAACCUCCACCUCUUUGAAGAGACCAAGCAGCUUGAUGACUGACUGGUUCUUUAUACUCAAGACCUCGUCCCGGAGCAGAGGACGGACCUAAGGCCCGCAGCGCAGCCGACUAGAGACUCCAUGUGGAACCGGUUCAAUUAAGUUGACCUCUCCUUCAGGCGACUUAAAGGGAGACCAGAUGUGCGGCAGCUGGGUGUCAUGGUGCAGAGACCCAACGCUGUACUGAACUACACCAGUGUGUCCUACUCCCAUAAACCCUGAGGAUCCCUGGAUGGCUACACCAGCACAUUAAUCCACACCCAACAUCAACACACAGUGCACACUCUAUAGAGCUCGUAAGUCCGCCCCUUGCGGCGGGACCUCGUGAGAUCGUAAGAUAUGACUGGGUUUCAAUGGAGAGAAAGUAAUUAUUUUCUCCAUUUUUUGUUGCACCACAUUUUGGGGGAAGAAUGUUUGAAUCAAUCUUUGUCAUUUAUUUCUGUACUCCAUAUCUGUAAUCCCAGCUGUUGUAUUUUAACACGGUAGCUGGGAACCCUCUUCAUAGGGAGCGACUAGAGGGACGAGGCUGGAAGCAAACCUGAGCCUGGAUCUUAACCUUCUUUCUAAACCUAAUGCCGCAAUUUAACCGCAAAUAAAGUGAGGCCUAAAGUAACUUGACUCUCUUACCUAAACUUGCUUGCCUAAACUCGCUUGUCUAAACUCGCCUGCAUAAAACCUAAACUCGCUUGCAUAAAACCUGAACUUGCUUGGCUAAACUCGCGUCACUUGCCUAAUACCUGAACUCGCUUGCCUAAACUCGCUUGCCUAAUACCUGAACUCGCUUGCAUAAAACCUAAACUCGCUUAGCUUGACUCGCUUGCCUG